rnacentral:rRNA from 1 species
GCGAGCUUUUCAGUAGUUUACUACAGAAAAUGACUGAGCGGCGAACGGGUGAGUAACGCGUGAGCAAUCUACCUUAGUUACUGGGAUAGCCCAAGGAAACUCGGAUUAAUACCGGAUAUUCUUAUUUUUUCACAUGAAGUUUUAAGGAAAGGUCAGCCGAACUAAGAUGAGCUCGCGUUCUAUCAGCUAGUUGGUGGGGUAAAAGCCUACCAAGGCUACGACGGAUAGCUGGUCUGAGAGGACGAUCAGCCACACUGGGACUGAGACACGGCCCAGACUCCUACGGGAGGCUGCAGCAGGGAAUAUUGCGCAAUGAGCGAAAGCUUGACGCAGCGACACCGCGUGUGGGAUGACGGUUCUAGGAUUGUAAACCACUUUCAGGAGGGAAGAAAAUGACGGUACCUCCACAAGAAGACCCGGCCAACUACGUGCCAGCAGCCGCGGUGAUACGUAGGGGUCAAGCGUUGUCCGGAUUUAUUGGGCGUAAAGAGCUCGUAGGCGGUUCAACAAGUCGGUCGUAAAAGUUUAGGGCUCAACCCUAAAAUGUCGAUCGAUACUGUUGUGACUAGGAUACGGUAGAGGUGAAUGGAAUUCCGAGUGUAGCGGUGAAAUGCGUAGAUAUUCGGAGGAACACCAAUUGCGAAGGCAGUUCACUGGACCGUGAUCGACGCUGAGGAGCGAAAGCUAGGGGAGCAAACAGGAUUAGAUACCCUGGUAGUCCUAGCUGUAAACGAUGGAUACUAGAUGUAGGAACUGGAUUGACGGUUUCUGUAUCGUAGCUAACGCGUUAAGUAUCCCGCCUGGGGGAGUACGGUCGCAAGACUAAAACUCAAAGGAAUUGACGGGACCCCGCACAAGCGGCGGAGCAUGCGGCUUAAUUCGAUGAUACCCGUAGAACCUUACCUGGACUUGACAUAUUAGGGAAAAGCUAAAGAAAUUUAGUGUGCGUAAGCGCCCUAUACAGGUGGUGCAUGGCUGUCGUCAGCUCGUGU